rnacentral:lncRNA from 1 species
AUGACGGGCGCGACCCCCUCCUGGAGGUCCGCCGGGACUGCGACGGGCGCGACCCCCUCCUGGAGGUCCGCCGGGACUGCGACGGGCGCGACCCCCUCCUGGAGGUCCGCAGGAGCUGCAGCUGGCGCGACCUCCUCCUGGAGGUCCGCAGGAGCUGCAGCUGGCGCGACCUCCUCCUGGAGGUCCGCAGGAGCUGCAGCUGGCGCGACCUCCUCCUGGAGGUCCGCAGGAGCUGCAGCAGGCGCCGCCUCCUCCUGGAGGCCGGCGGGCGCUGCGGCUCCGAGGGUGACCGGGACUGGAACGGCCCCUACAGGGCCAACGGGAACCGGACCAGGGACGGGAACGACCUCUACUUGGCCUACAGGGACGGGAACGACCUCUACUUGGCCUACAGGGACGGGAACGGCAUCUACUUGGCCUACAGGGACGGGAACGGCAUCUACUUGGCCGACAGGGACUGGAACGGCAUCUACUUGGCCGACAGGGACUGGAACGGCAUCUACUUGGCCGACAGGAACAGGAACGGCAUCUACUUGGCCGACAGGAACAGGAACGGCAUCUACUUGGCCGACAGGAACAGGAACGGCAUCUACUUGGCCGACAGGAACAGGAACUGGAACGGCCCCAACAUGGCCGACAGGGACAAGAACGGCUUCAACAUGGCCGACAGGGACAAGAACGGCUUCAACAUGGCCGACAGGGACAAGAACGGCCUCGACAUGGCCGACAGGGACAGGAACUGGAACGGCCCCAACAUGGCCGACAGGGACAGGAACUAGAACGGCCCCAACAUGGCCGACAGGAACAGGGACGGCCUCAACAUGGCCGACAGGAACAGGGACGGGAACGGCAUCCUUACAGGAGCCGGCAGCGCUGCUCUCUGGCCCCUCACGGGAGCCGGCGGCGCUGCUCUCUGGCCCCUCACGGGAGCCGGCGGCGCUGCUCUCAGGCUCCCCACGGGAGCCGGCGGCGCUGCUCCCAGGCUCCCCACUGGAGCCGGCGGCGCUGCCCCCAGGCUCCCCACUGGAGCCGGCAGCGACUGAGACGGCGUCUACUCCGGAGCCGGCUUGGCUGCUUGCAACCGCCGAGCCCGACGGAGCAGACGUCGGGCCUGAUCGGGUGUGCCUAGCACCCGUUCGACAGGUGGUGUCCUCUGACUGGGACAAGACCUGCGCGUGA